rnacentral:rRNA from 1 species
AUUGAACGCUGGCGGCAGGCCUAACACAUGCAAGUCGAACGAGUGGCGGACGGGUGAGUAAUGUCUGGGAAACUGCCCGAUGGAGGGGGAUAACUACUGGAAACGGUAGCUAAUACCGCAUACAAUCGGAUGUGCCCAGAUGGGAUUAGCUGGUAGGUGAGGUAACGGCUCACCUAGGCGACGAUCCCUAGCUGGUCUGGGAGGUUGGCCAGGCACACGGGACAUGAGACACGGUCCAGGUUCCUACGGGGGGCAGCAGUGGGGAAUAUUGAGCAAGGGGCGCAAGUCUGAUGGAGACAUGCCGCGUGUAUGAAGAAUGCCUUCGGGUUGUAAAGUACUUUCAGCGGGGAGGCGUUACCUGCCUAAGAAGCACCGGCUAACUCCGUGCCAGCAGCCGCGUAAUUC